rnacentral:rRNA from 1 species
AAAAACUGAGGUGGUAUACGAUGGUUCCGCGUCUGAUUAGCUAGUUGGUGGGGUAAAAGCCUACCAAGGCAACGAUCAGUAGCCGGCCUGAGAGGGUGAACGGCCACAUUGGGACUGAGACACGGCCCAAACUCCUACGGGAGGCAGCAGUGGGGAAUAUUGCACAAUGGGGGAAACCCUGAUGCAGCGACGCCGCGUGAGUGAAGAAGUAUUUCGGUAUGUAAAGCUCUAUCAGCAGGGAAGAAAUACUGACCAUAGGGUCAGCAGACGGUACUUGACUAAGAAGCCCCGGCUAACUACGUGCCAGCAGCCGCGGUAAUACGUAGGGGGCAAGCGUUAUCCGGAUUUACUGGGUGUAAAGGGAGCGUAGACGGCAGCGCAAGUCUGAAGUGAAAUGCCAGGGCUUAACCCUGGAACUGCUUUGGAAACUGUGCAGCUAGAGUGCAGGAGAGGUAAGUGGAAUUUCUAGUGUAGCGGUGAAAUGCGUAGAUAUUAGGAGGAACACCAGUGGCGAAGGCGGCUUACUGGACUCUAACUGACGUUGAGGCUCGAAAGCGUGGGGAGCAAACAGGAUUAGAUACCCUGGUAGUCCACGCUGUAAACGAUGAUUACUAGGUGUUGGGGG